CCCUUUUAACAGACAGAGAGGCUGAAAACACACUAAAUGAUUUCAGCAAGCUACAUAAAAAGUCAGAGCCUACAUCAUAAUUAAGAAACAUAUUGCUGGGGGGAAGAUACAGCUCAAGCAGCAGAGUGUAUGCUUAGCAUGCACAAGGUCCUGGGUUCAAUCCCCAGUAUGUCCGUUAAAAGAAAAAUAC